UACCAGCUCUCCGAGUGGUGUGGAUGUUUAUUGGGCCUAAAGCAUCCGUAGCUGGCCAAGUUAGUCCCCUGUUAGAUCCACCGAAUUAAUCGUUGGAAUGCGGGGGAUACUGCUCGGCUAGGGGACGAGAGAGGCCGACGGUAUUUUCGGGGUAGGGGUGAAAUCCUAUAAUCCCGGGAAGACCACCAGUGGUGAAGGCUGUCGGCUAGAACGUGCUCGACGGUGAGGGAUGAAAGCUGGGGGAGCGAACCGGAUUAGAUACCCGGGUAGUCCCAGCUGUAAACGAUGCAGGCUAGGUGUUUGGGCGGCCACGUGCCGCUCUAGUGCCGCAGGGAAGCUGUUAAGCCUGCCGCCUGGGGAGUACGGCCGCAAGGCUGAAACUUAAAGGAAUUGGCGGGGAGCACCACAAGGGGUGAAGCUUGCGGUUU
rnacentral:rRNA from 1 species